AUGAGGUGAUUCAUUCUCUGCCAAUCCCUGGAGGACAAGUAGUGGGGUGAUCCAAGCCCCACCAAUCCCUGAGAGAUAAUUAGCAUACUGUUGUCUAUAUAAGCCGAGCGAUUUUGCUGCUCGGGGUCCCUGUUCAGAAGAGCUGUAACACUGAGAAGAGCUGUAACACUAAGAAGAGCUGUAACACAGUAAAGGCUUGCUCGCAGAAGAAUCCUGUUGCCGCACGUCGUUCUUGCUGGCGGGACAUUGGGCGCGCGACAGAAAACACAUUAAUUGGGAUCAUAACAAGUUUAUCCUGCAUUUUAUGGCUAAUCUCCACUACUAAGUGAGUACAUACCAGAUGGGUGAACAGCCUAAUUAUCAUCAGAGACUUCAAUCAGCAACUGUUGAAAACAGAUACACAGAAGGUAACCAGAUAAAGACAAGUAAAUUUUCCAUAGUUCCAUAUGAAUUGGAGGAUCUGAAGGAAAAAAAAAAACUAAACGCCAAAUGAAAACUCCAGUACCAUGUUUCAGUUACAUUUAAUUGAGUUGUUUGCUAAAUGGACCCCAAAGAAAUUCCUACCAGUCCAGAAUAUUUCUAAAUAGUCUCUCCAAGAACUGAUGGUGAGACACUCUUUCCAGGGUAAUCAUGUACAAUUUCAUUAAACAUGAACAAAUUAAGCUGAUGACUAUCUAGAUUUUUACCACUACUGAGUAACGUUCAUAGCACUGGAAAGUAUUCCAUGUUCUACUAGAGGAGAAGGAGAAACUCCCACAAUGCUGCAAAUUCUUUGAUCUAGAAGAAGUGGCCUGCUUUCAAGACAUUCUGGUAUAAUUAAUGUACAGACAUUGUAAGGGUAACCAACAACUAUUUGAUUGGAUAUAAGGCACACUAAAUGAGAUGAAACCCAUGAUUAACAUCACACUGGUAGGCAAGAACCUGAGACUACUAUUGCCAUAGGACAUUGGGUAAAACCAUAUACUACUGUUCUGUCAUAGGAUAAUAUAAACAAAAUAUUUCUUAAUGACAUUCUGCUAUAAUAAUAGUGUCUUGCUCAAUCAUCAUUAAAGAAUGUUCCUUAAGGAAAUGGAUGAAAAAAAAAGGGAGAGAACAAUAGUUGAAAAAAGUACAAAGAGUGGAAACCCUAGAACACACAGUUCUCAAAAAAAUAUCCAUCAAAUUCCUAUUAUCGUUUCUCAAGAGAUGGUGCCAGAGAAAGCUGAAAUUGUAUGAGAUAACAGGGAUAUAUAAACCACCAAUCAAAAGUACACGUGGAGGGAACAAUGGCUCCAGUCACAUAUGUAGCAGUGGAUAGCAUUGUUUGGCAUUAUUAGGAGGAGAAGCCCUUGGUCCUAUUAAGACUCAUUUCCCCAUUGUAGGAGAAUGUCAG